ACCCAGCCGACUAGUCUCAAAGAGGACGAAACUCGAGUCCUGGAU
rnacentral:hammerhead_ribozyme from 1 species